GGAGACCGAGCCCUCCGCAAUCGCUCCUUAUCGCCCUGUGUAAACGCCGCCUGCCUUCCCAGCGCCCGUGACGUUGCGUUCUGGAUAUCUUUUCUGGGAAAUGCGGUUAAGUCUGAUGACGAACUGCGGAUUUAGAAGGUGCUUGGCGUUACAGUGUAACCAAGGAAGCGUUUGGCAGGGCUGCGCGGGAUGCGGCUUCUGUGCUGGCUGCAGAAGCUCCCGGUGCUCCGUGUCGUAGUUCCAGUCCUGCCUCAUUCCACUGCUUGCUGUGUCCUCGAAGCAAUAACCAGAAGUGAACAGGAUCUCCCUGGGCAGUUCCAUCACAGAAGGGGCAAAGGUGAGAUGAGUACACUUGAUGGGAGAGUUUAAGUGUUGGGCAUUAAUAAAUACAGCUAUAAACUCGGCCUUCAGAGGGCUGCUCUGAAAA